UUCUUAUGAGCUUCUUCUGCAAUUUCUGCAUAAGUCUCAAUCUACCACUGUACUUGGUAUUAUCAAUGAGCAUAUCAACUUUCAAGUUUCUCCUGGACAGCCCAACUCAAUUUCUGAUGAUGCGGAGGCUGUUACAUUGACUGGCAGCAGCCAGGAUGCAGUCAGUCAGAUUAAUCAGAAGGAAAUACAUUGGGGGUUCAGUAGAGGUUGAGCAG